rnacentral:rRNA from 1 species
CCUACGGGCGGCAGCAGUAGGGAAUCUUCCACAAUGGGCGAAAGCCUGAUGGGGCAACGCCGCGUGGGUGAAGAAGGUCUUCGGAUCGUAAAACUCUGUUGGUAGGGAAGAAAGUGCGUGAGACUAACUGUUCACGUUUCGACGGUAUCUAACCAGAAAGCCACGGCUAUAUACGUGCCAGCAGCGGCGGUAAUACGUAGGUGGCAAGCGUUAUCCGGAUUUUGUGGGCGUAAAGGGAUCGCAGGUGGUAUUUUAAGUCUGAUGUUAAAGCCAUAGGCUUAACCGGUGUAGUGCAGUGGAUACUGGGAAACUUGAAUGCAGAAGAGGAGAAGGGAACUCCAGGUGUAGCGGUGAAAUGCGUAGAUAUAUGGAGGAACACCAGUGGCGAAAGCGGCUCACUGGUCUGUAACUGACGCUGAGGUUCGAAAGCCUGGGUAGCAAACGGGAUUAGAUACCCCAGUAGUC